GCUGGAUUGAUCACUGCACAUCGAUCCACCGGGUAAUGUAGACAAACCCUAAGUCUCUGUGUAGACAAGCCCGAAGUCAAGUGUUGGGGCUAAUGCUAUGUAAGUACAAAGGCCAGACCCUCCUGCGCAUUUUGUCACCCCCUUGACUGGCUGAUUUGGGGAGUGGCUUUGCAAUCUCAUUGGGCGUUGCCUUUCUUUGGGAUCAGACAAGGGAAAUGAUGGCCCAGAACAAAGGUGAGGGGAAGAAUCUCAGGAUCCUUUGUUGGACGCUCUAUAAAUUCCAUACUGUCACCAUUGUUUAGGGGGCUGCGGACUGGGAGUGGGGGAAGGGCGUGCUCCUUAUUCUGCUCCUUUCUAAGUUUGGUACAAUGGAGGAAAAACACAUUGGGAUGCCUGGGGUUCAUCUGCUGCCAAAAGAAAUAGCAGCACCAAGCAUGGAAUUGGAAUGAUAUCAGAGGAAGGUGUGAAGCAAAACCCUGGAUCCAGCCCAUUCUCACUCUCAAACUUGGGAGGGGGGUUCAGAAUCCCACUGAAAGCAGAAUUUCUGAUCUGACCCCCUCUCUCUUUAUAUUGGAACCAAACAAUACCUUGAAGCACUGCACAGCUCCAAACUCUGGGAUGAAGGAAAAAAUCCAGACCCCAAAUUGUACAGAUCGGAUCCAUUUAAAAACCCAUCCUUGGCUGCUGUAAAUCAGUGUAACUCUACUGAAGUCAAUGGAGCCACCUCCAUUUACACCGAGAGUCUGGUCCUUAGCAUGUUACUGGUGUGAAAUAAAAGAAGCACGCAAGCAUUGUUGUCAGCGAGCUUACCUGUAUGAGAAGCAGCUAGAUUUGAUUCCCGCUUGGUCCAGGAGGAUUAAUGGAGACUGCAGUUGAAGAUGAACCAAAUACCCUACACGCACACGCCUGUGAGACACUGGCUGAACCUGAACUCAGCUCUACGGCUGGCAGCCACCUCAGGAGAUGCCCACUAAAAAUCAGGGCUUCCUGGCAGCAUCUCCUCUAUCCCAGCCCAUGACUCUCUCUGCUCUAGAGAAAUGCUUUAAUUUCACUUAUACUCUGGUUGAUGAAAACAAGAUCCAGCAUGAAUCAACAGUGUUUAUUCUGCAUCUUUAUGCAGGGUUGUAAAAAAGUCUUUACACCUCGAGCUUAGGCUGACUUAAAAGAGGAGCCCUGAAUUCAUGUGCAGGAGCCUAGAAACUCUGACUCUGUUACAAACCUCUUGCCCCAAAAAUGUCAGCUUUGAGCAGACCUGGCCAAUCUGUAAGUAUACUCAUUCCACCAGAGUUUGAGAAAUAAAAACUGGAUGUCAUGCGA